CUAAACUAAUCUAUCGAAAUCCAAGGGGAAGUACCUUGGUCAUACAGAAUUCAUAUCGUUGAUGGCGUAUCGAAGCCAGAGAUAGUAUGAAUGCUAAGACUCCACUAUGCAGUGGUUAUCUGUUAAUAGUCAUUGUGUAAAGCGUGGUGAAGACACCUUUGAAAAACCUAAACCUAGUAAUAGGCAUGGAAGAGUAUAAAGGUGGGCAUCCGUAAA
rfam:Clostridium cellulovorans 743B, complete genome.